rnacentral:rRNA from 1 species
AGAGUUUGAUCCUGGCUCAGGACGACGCUGGCGGCACGCCUAACACAUGCAAGUCGAACGGAGUGAAGAUGCUUGCAUCUGAACUUAGUGGCGGACGGGUGAGUAACACGUGAGCAACCUGCCUUUCAGAGGGGGAUAACGUUUGGAAACGAACGCUAAUACCGCAUAAAUAUCGGAGUCGCAUGGCACUGAUAUCAAAGGAGCAAUCCGCUGAAAGAUGGGCUCGCGUCCGAUUAGGCAGUUGGCGGGGUAACGGCCCACCAAACCGACAAUCGGUAGCCGGACUGAGAGGUUGAACGGCCACAUUGGGACUGAGACACGGCCCAGACUCCUACGGGAGGCAGCAGUGGGGAUAUUGCACAAUGGGGGAAACCCUGAUGCAGCGAUGCCGCGUGAAUGAAGACGGCCUUCGGGUUGUAAAGUUCUGUCGCAGGGGACGAAAAUGACGGUACCCUGCAAGAAAGCUCCGGCUAACUACGUG